rnacentral:rRNA from 1 species
UACGUAGGGGGCUAGUGUUGUCCGGAUUUAUUGGGCGUAAAGAGCUUGUAGGCGGUUUGUCGCGUCUGCUGUGAAAAUCCGGGGCUCAACCCCGGACUUGCAGUGGGUACGGGCAGACUAGGGUGUGGUAGGGGAGACUGGAAUUCCUGGUGUAGCGGUGAAAUGCGCAGAUAUCAGGAGGAACACCGAUGGCGAAGGCAGGUCUCUGGGCUACUACUGACGCUGAGAAGCGAAAGCAUGGGGAGCGAACAGG